GCUUCAAAUACUACCAGAAUGGUCACUGGGCUAGGAAAUGCCUACAGCCCAGGAUUCCUCCCAAACUAUGGCCUUCCUGUGUGGGUCCUUAUUGGAAGUCAAAAUCUCCAGCACUAGCAGCUGCCCUGCCACUUCUGUACCAUAAAACCAGGGACCCCCAAGGUCUCCUUCCCAGACCUCCUUGGCCUGGCCGCCAAAGAGUGGUAAACACGGAGGCAGCAAAGAUCUCCUAGUUCAUCUCAGAUAUUGAGUUCUGGGUAACUUUUAUGUUGGUAAGUCCAUCCCAUUCCUCAUUAACACAGUUCUAUUCACUCCGCCUUGUCUUGCUUGUAUGGACUAACUUUCCUUGCCUCGAUUGCUAUUGUAGAGAUUGCUAUUGUAGAGAUUGGCACAAGUGGUGCCGAAACCCGGGAAGCGACGGUCAUCAUUGCCGGCAUCAGCGGAGACCCCUGACUUCAGGAGGAUUCAGAACUGAGACGCAGGAGGGGAGGAUCCACCAACUUUCCGAGAGGUAUUCUCUCUUCUCUUCUGCUCCACCUACUUAUGGUUAGUUCUUUUCACCACCAACAACAGGACCAUCAACAUCACCACAACACUUCAAUGGUCUGCGCAACAUCACCUUCGCACUCACUCCAGUUUGCGUGUGGCCACCAUUUCUUUGGCUUGUGGCUAAUGUGACUCUCUCACAGACUAUGGAACUGAAUUGUGCCAAUGAUACUUGUUGGUACGCAUCCUGCUGGGACGCUACCAAAUUUCCUCAUGCUGUGGUUGUUCGAAUGCCUCGAUUCAUUCCUGUACCAACGGAAGUCUCGAAUCCCUUGAGUACUGUAAGAUCUAAGAGAGACUUUGGGAUUACGGCAGCAAUAGUAUCAGCGAUAACUAUUGCGGCCGCUGGUGCGACCGCAGCCGCCGUCUCUUUCCACGUCAGUACAAACCGCAACUGCUUUGAAUAAUUUGUCAGCCAAUGUAGCCUCUGCGCUCGAUAUGCAAGCCUCUAUUAAUGCCCAUUUGAAGGGAGGGGUAAUGAUUGUUAAUCAAAGGGUUGAUUUAGUGCAAGAGCAACUUGAUGUGUUAUGGCAAUUGGCCCAAAUAGGAUGUAUGUGGAGGAUGCCAGGACUCUGUGUUACACCUGUACAAUAUCAUAAUAUGUCAAAAGCUGCGAAUCUAGGGAACUCUCUAAGUAUUUGACAUCAAAUUGGACGGGACGUUUUGAUCACUUGGUUAGACAAUUGAGAGUAGCCAUUGCUCAUGUUAAUUCUACCCGAGUAGACAUUGUUUUUGCACAAGGUAUAUCUGAUUGGAUUGCAAGUGCUGUAUCUAUUCUGAAGGAUUGGGCUGGAAUGGGAUCAAUGAUUGCUUUGUUGGCUUUGGCAGUGUUUUUGGGAUUUUGGUGGUUAUGUAAGAUGAGAUGACAGAGACAAAAUGAUAAUAUCAUGUUAUUGCAAGCUUUCGCUGCCCUUGAAGCCGGAUACUCGCCUGCUGCCUGGUUGGCCCAUCUACAAUAGUAACUUGAACGUUGGUCAAUAUCUGCCUAUGCCUUGCUCAUUCGGAGGCCACAAAUACCUACAUCUCUCCACCUCCUUGGACAUGGCCUCUGCACUCUGUGGAUUAGUCCAUUGCACCAGAAUCAGGCAUGUCCUUUUAUAAUCUUGUUGAUCAGCCUUCGCACCGCUCAGAGGUUCUCAUUGCACGAGCUAAGGUGAUCCAACAGUUGCUCACAUGGAAUACCUGCUUCGACCACCUUCCGGCCGGGGUGGUUGACAGGCUCCUCCUGAGCUCUAGUUAUUUUAAGGAAGGGGGAGAUGUCACGCGCCAUUAUUUCCGGGUUCUUCAUGCCCUGCAUGAAUCCCGGAUGUGAGUCCGCCGGUGACGGUGGUUCACGCCUGCGCAGAGGAGGCGCUUGGUUCGUCAGAAUGACGCAGGCCGGCAUUGACCAAUAGAAAUGGGCCACGUCACCCGAGAGGCUAUAAAAGGCAGGCUCGCAUCCGGCUCAGGGUCUUUCUGCCAUCUUGAAGAAUGUAGAAGAAACUCCAAUAAAGCGUGCAUCAGAAGAAUCCUGAGUGUUGCGUGCUCCUUGCUGGCGAGGUGCGCGCGACAGAGAUUG
ensembl:lincRNA